AGAGGCAAUAGCAUACACUAAAUAAUAUGACAUAACAGGCAUAACUGAAACAUGAUGAGAUGAGACACAUGACUGGGCAGUUAACUUAAAUGGGUACACACUAUUUAGGAAGGACAGAAAAAACAGGAAAGGUGGUGGGGUAUGUGUGUAUGUCAACCAUGAGUUAUAGCCAAAUCUUAGGCAAGUGGAAUGUAAUGAGGAAGAUAUG